rnacentral:piRNA from 1 species
UUUUCCUUUUACCUUUAUGCUAAUAGGAUGC